rnacentral:rRNA from 1 species
GUGCCAGCCGCCGCGGUAAUACGAGGGGGGCAAGUGUUGUUCGGAAUCACUGGGCGUAAAGGGAGCGUAGGCGGAAGCUUAAGUCGGGAGUUUAAAACCGGGGCCCAACCCCGGAGCGGCUCCCGAAACUGGGUUUCUUGAAUGGGACAGAGGCUGGUGGAAUUGGGGGUGUAGCGGUGGAAUGCGUAGAGAUCCCCAAGAACACCGAUUGCGAAGGCAGCCAGCUGGGUCCACAUUGACGCUGAGGCUCGAAAGCAUGGGGAGCAAACAGGAUUAGAUACCCUUGUAGUCC